rnacentral:snRNA from 1 species
GUGCCACAAGGGUUUAAACACAUGUACUAAAAUUGGAAUGAUAGAGAUGAUCAGUAUGGACCCUACACAAUGAUGAUAUGAAAAUUGGUGAAGUAUUCCAUAUUUAA